AACGAAACUGGAAAAUGGCCUUCAUUGGAAAAGCCCCAGUCCUCGGGGAGCAGAUCCCCCAUCUCUGGCAGUGCAGUGUGCCUGGGAGCUGUCUGGAACAUUCCGCAACGGUCACUCCUCUGCCCUGCAUUGGCCUUGACCACAUGACCCAGAGGUGCAGGGAGAAGCCUCCCUUGGAUGCUUGGAGUGACUUCAGCUGCUGAGAGUGUCUAAGGAGAGCCGGGAACACCGCACGCUUCCUGCAGAUGGCGGGGCAGACCUGUGUGCAAGAGUGCCUGAAGGGGAUCUCCCGUGGCGCUACCUGGUCCAGGGAGGUCACAGAGAGCUCCUCCACCCUGAGCACAGGGGGUCCCACCAAGGACAAGGACAAGAUUCAGCACCGUCGCACACAGAACAGCUACCUGGAGCCACAGGUCACUUUCCAAAAAGGGAGUUUCCAGGCCAGAAGCCAUCCCUGCAGCAUUGUCUUUGUGCUCCAAGAGAAGCCCUGGCACACACUUCUGCUCAGAUGGAACCACUGUUCCCUCAGUGUCCUUGUCAGUACCAGCUGGUGACUUUCCUACUCAAACCCUUCCCUCACUCUCUGCCUCAUUUUCUCAAGGUGCCGUGUUUGCCUGAAAGGACAUUGGCAGCCAGCAGGGGCGGCGGCUGGUCCUCUAGAUGGGCACGAAUGCCAUUGGCAGGCAAUGGGGCAGACUCCAUGGAAAGAUGCUUCUCUUCCUCAAGGUAGAGCACAUUCACUAUAUCUCCAAAGAAGAUGUUAGGAGCCAGCCAAAGUAUUAUCUAGUAAUGCAUCCACAUCAGUGUUCUGGAACGUGGGGUUGGUCAUGUGUACUCUUCCCCAUAGUGGCUGGAUGUGGCUCUGUGUAUAUUGUGGAGACAAGGUAAUGAUGAUAAAGACCCCCACUCAGAUAGGGAUAAAUAGGAAACACACAGCAAUUUUUAUUGCCUACUGGGUGAGCAUUAUAAAAUGUGAAUAUUUUCCUCAAUGAAAAGUAAGAAGAGAACUAGGUUCUCAUGAAAAAGUGGCAAAAUGGUUUUUACAAACUCUGGCGACUCAUAUAUUUUAAAGUUGCCUAAUCAACUGAAAUGUAUGUAUGUAAGCAUGGGUAUAUUCACUAAAGCCUAGAACUAAUGAUGACCUUAGCAGCAAAGGAAUAAAAAUAUGUUCAAUAAUUA
ensembl:lncRNA FAM225B family with sequence similarity 225 member B